rnacentral:tRNA from 1 species
CAGUAAAUAGUUUAAUUAAAAUAUUAAUUUUGGAGAUUAAUGAUGAGACCUUUCUUUUUACUGA